UUCCGGUUGAUCCUGCCGGACCUGACUGCUAUCGGAUUGAUACUAAGCCAUGCGAGUCUUUGUAGUAAUACAAGGCAUACGGCUCAGUAACGCGUAGUCAACCUACCCUAUGGACAAGAAUAAUCUCGGGAAACUGAGCAUAAUUCUUGAUAGAUCAUAAUGCCUGGAAUGGUUUAUGGUUAAAAUGAUUCGUCGCCAUAGGAUGGGACUGCGGCCUAUCAGCUUGUUGGUGAGGUAAUGGCCCACCAAGGCGAUUACAGGUACGGGCUCUGAGAGGAGAAGCCCGGAGAUGGGUACUGAGACAAGGACCCAGGCCCUAUGGGGCGCAGCAGGCGAGAAAACUUUGCAAUGUGCGAAAGCACGACAAGGUUAGUCCGAGUGAUUUCUGCUAAAGAGAUCUUUUGCUAGUUAUAAAACCACUAGUGAAUAAGGGGUGGGCAAGUUCUGGUGUCAGCCGCCGCGGUAAAACCAGCACCUCAAGUGGUCAGGAUGAUUAUUGGGCCUAAAGCAUCCGUAGCCGGCUCUGUAAGUUUUCGGUUAAAUCUAUGCGCUCAACGUAUGGGCUGCCGAAAAUACUGCAGAGAUAGGGAGUGGGAGAGGUAGACGGUACUCGGUAGGAAGGGGUAAAAUCCUUUGAUCUAUCGAUGACCACCUGUGGCGAAGGCGGUCUACCAGAACACGUUCGACGGUGAGGGAUGAAAGCUGGGGGAGCAAACCGGAUUAGAUACCCGGGUAGUCCCAGCUGUAAACGAUGCAGACUCGAUGAUGCAUUGGCAUAUAGCCAGUGCAGUGUCGCAGGGAAGCCGUUAAGUCUGCCGCCUGGGAAGUACGUACGCAAGUAUGAAACUUAAAGGAAUUGGCGGGGGAGCACCACAAGGGGUGAAGCCUGCGGUUCAAUUGGAAUCAACGCCGGA
rnacentral:rRNA from 1 species